rnacentral:rRNA from 1 species
AUGGAUGUUCAUAUUUUCAAGGACGCGGAAUAUAUCAUGGAUGUUCAUAUUUUCAAGGACGCGGAAUAUAUCAUGCUGGGUGCGCAGCCUUGCCAAUACCAGGACAGCAUCAUGCGGGAUAAUGAGAAUAUCAACUCUGAAGCUCAACUUGUAGUUAAUCCAGGAAAGCACAACAUGGGUAUCGAGAGUGAGGCCAUUGGAAGUGAUCACACUACUGUUUCGUCGAAGAAGAAUAGUUCUGAAGUAGUGGAUGAUUGUUAUCAUGACUUCCUGAUGAAAGAUGAUUUGGGCAUUGUGUGCCGUGUUUGUGGUUUGGUCCAGCAACACGUCAAGAUUGCAGUGGAAAAAGCCACAUCUCUCAUUUCCUCUUCCUUGCAGCAGCGCAACCAAUCACACAGAAGGUACCUUCCAGAACCCAGAAGCUGCAAACUGAUCUGGAGGCAACUACCAAUCCUUUAUGAGAUAAUUCUUCAAGUAGACCCUCAGCAUUCAGAACAGAUGAAACCUCACCAAGUGGAAGGUUUUAAUUUCUUGAUCAAGAACUUGGCAGAUAAGAACAACCCUGGAGGUUGUAUUCUAGCACAUGCACCAGGUUCUGGAAAGACUUUCAUGCUGAUUAGCUUUGUUCAAAGCUUCCUGGCCAGAUACCCGGCAGGAAGGCCAUUGAUUAUCCUUCCAAAGGGCACUCUGGCAACAUGGAGAACAGAAUUUGUCCUUCGGCAUAUCAAAGACAUGCAUAGCCUUGUACUAGAAGAGGCCGGUAAAGCAACGUGCCAACCGUCUUAG